UAAAAAAAAAAAAAAAAAAAAAAAAGAUCCUUGACAAUGAACCAAUCUCAAGCAGACCCCGUGGCAAGGUGAGCGGCAGUCAUCUGCUCAGGGAAACACACACACCCCCUCACUCAUGCGCGCGUAUAGCAGACAUUUUCACGCAUCACCGACUCGCGUCUAGCUCUUUCCUGCUCGUUUAAUUAGGUCUUGACCAUCGGCAACAGCACUGCCCGGUCGGGACUCGAACCUCCUGGAUCCAACAGCACGGCAGUCUGCUCUUCCAUCCUACUUUUCUCAUUUUUCAGGAGGGGAAAGCACGUUUCGGCAUAAAUACCCCCAGACAGACGGAGCCGGUGGAAGUUUGGGGUAACUUUUCACGCUGCGUGGAGCCGGUCAGGUUGGAAGACAACCGCCAUGCUAUCAGUCUCCGAUGUGAAAAGUGAGGAAAGUGAACCUUUAUCUUGAAAAUGAAACCAGCCAGAAGUGAAAUGUAAAGUUGAAAUUAUUGUCACUUUCGUACAUGUAUAGAUUUAAACUCUGUUUUUCACUGACCCAUGACAUGAAAACAACACACAUGACUCAGGACUUUAAAUACAUUUUAAACUUUUCUGAUGAAGCUAGAAGGAAACACUUCUCACGUCCUUCAACAAUGAUUGACGCUUCCUUUGCCCCAGAUGUUAAGUUCCCUGUUUCCACAUCAAGUGUGUGAAGUUGCAUAGAUGGAGCAAGCAGUGUUAUGCCACAACAUAAUGAGUCCUUUUUGUCUUUCAACAUUUAAAGCAGCUCCACAAUCUCAUAAUCAGCAAAACAGCUGAGUUUUAGUAACAGAUCAGACAUAGAUUGCGGAGACAUUUGUUGCUUAUCCACCCUGCUGACCUUAUGAUGCUGUUUGCUCUGUUUUGUGUGUUCAACGGGAUUUCCCAGAUGACAGAGGCUAAACACAGAGCGGGGAAAAAAAGUCUUAUUAAUUUUUACUUCAGCAGCCGUCGACCCUGGCCAUGUUGCUAGACAUUUAAUAAAUAGGAAUUAUUUAAAGUCAUUUCCUUAAUCCAAACCUAGAACCCGAAACAGUCUGUCUUUUUAUUGUCAAUUUUAUUCAUUUAUUUAAGAAGAACCGAAACAAAAAUAAUACGUCCUACUGAGAGCUAAAAACUCCCAAAAGCUCAGGUUGCUAAUCAGAAGGGGGGAAUACCUGAAACACGGUGGAGCCACCAUCAAACAGUUCAGCUAUUGUUGCAGCCAAACGGAGGAAUGUGAUUCGGCCGGAGAUACGGAAGGACAGUGGGUUGUAAGGGGGGGCUCAGAGGAGCGGCCCCGGAGGUGAGCUGAGGGUGGGACCUCAUGAAUGAGGAGGGGUCUACACAAACCUGAGGAGGAACAUGAGGAGGAUGAUUCUGAAAUUGUUUUGAUGAGGGGUCAUGUUCUGCUGGACAGAACAGGUAGCCACUCUGCAUGUUUACAGUAGAUCCAUUCCCCCUUUCUGAAUUUUAGCAAUUCAAUUACUAUAGUUAAGUUUUGGACAAACAAUGUUGGUGAUUGAGAGAUCAGGAAUAAAGAUGAAGACCACCAAUGACGUUCAUGGAUGAGGUGAAGAGGACAUGAAGGUUUGACCAGAGAAUGCUCAAAAUAGGUCCACGUGGAGGACUUAGCUGCUGGAACAGCUGAUGUGAAAUGACCAAAAAGUCAGUGUGGUUCCAACCUGAAAAAGCAAGAAACUUACUUCCUGUAAAUACUACUCCUACAUAUGUUCUAGCUGGUUCAUUUUAGUUGUUCAUGACCCAGGAAUGUGAUGACUCUUUCCACUGCAGGAAGUACUGCAUUGGUAAACCUGGUUCAACUGACUGCUAGAGUUACUAAAAACAACUCCACCUCCAUCAUCAUCCUCAUCCUUUAGUCACACCUUCAUGUCCUCAGUCAUACAUGAGCCUCAUUCAUACAUGGGUUGUCCUUCUCUUCGUCCACCUAUAACAUUUUCCUACUUGUUUCUCAUUCUUGAUGGUUUUGGUCUGUCCUCUCCACAUGUCCAAACCUUUGCAAACAUGAGUCAUCGAUAUACUUGUUCCUGAUGUUGUGCUUUCUAGUCGCUCCUCAUGACCACCAUUGCAUCUUCACCUCUGGCUGGUACUUAUACUUUAAAGUCACAGGUGACUCCUCUCUUCACCAUUUCCACCCAGCCUGCAGUCUCUUCUAGUCCUCCCAAACUUCCCCCUACAUUUAAGAAAGUUUAAAAAAGCACCACAUACUUUGUAUUGUACAUUCGUAAACCAGUUUUCAAAACACACUGCCUGAACAGGAAGCUUAUCUUUUUCAUUAAAAAAUUGUAAAUUGUGAGCAUAUUGACAUACUAAAACAUGUAACAAAGAAUUUGCCAGGCAUUCUUCCUCAUGAGGUUGUAGAUCCAUCUAGACCAGGGGUCUGAAACUGAUCCACAAAAGGGCCCCUAAUUUAGACUGAAUGGGAGAUGGAGGUGGAUUUGCUGUUUAGAUUCAACGUAGAAUCAAUAUAUUUCUUACUUUGUGCUCCUCUGCUGUAUAACAGGAAAUUAUAUAAUAAGAGACAUAACUAGUAACACUUAUAUAUAAUGAAUAAUUACACCAAUCAUGGCCAGGAAUAUAAUUCUAAUUUCACAAAUUCCAAAAAUCAGUUUCUGCUAUAACUACUUCACGAAUCUUGAAGAAAGAUUAAGGUUAUCACAAUGUUUAAUGGCAUCAUUUGUCUAAAAAAACUGUGACUAACAAGAGAACGUGGCUCAACUUUUAAUGUAAAUUUAAACUUAUGACUCAGCGGCCAAAAAAUGCAGAUGCUUUUAUUAUGCUGUCUCCAGAUUGGCAAAUUCCACAUCAUGGGUUAUGUCGCUACAAUAAAGCUGGCAUUGUCAUUUGAAAAUUUGUUUGUACUUUUUUUUCCUGUACUUUUUGUG